GUAGUCUCGCACAGAUGCAUAUCAAUAAGCGGAGGAAAAGAAACUAACAAGGAUUCCCUUAGUAACGGCGAGUGAAGCGGGAAGAGCUCAAAUUUGAAAUCUUGAAAGGUCACCUUUCACGAAUUGUAGUUUAAAGAAGUGUUUUCUGUUACGAUCGUAAUAUAAGUUCUUUGGAAUAGGACAUCACAGAGGGUGAGAAUCCCGUCUAUGAUUGCGAUUUGUAGCUUUGUGAUACACUUUCAAAGAGUCGGGUUGUUUGGGAAUGCAGCCCAAAACGGGAGGUAAAUUUCUUCUAAGGCUAAAUAUUGGCGAGAGACCGAUAGCGAACAAGUACCGUGAGGGAAAGAUGAAAAGAACUUUGAAAAGAGAGUUAAAUAGUACGUGAAAUUGUCAAAAGGGAAGCGUUUAACACCAGUGUUGUUUUCUGAAAAUCAACCUCUGUUAGCUUUAUGCAUGUUUGUUUAGACCUAAUCAGCUAUCUUGCAUGUUCUAUUGUUUGCAGUGGUGCACUUUUCAGUUUACAGGUCAACAUCAGUUUUUUUUACCGUAAAAAAGUUAAAGAAAGGUAGCUCAUGGCUCCGGUCGUGAGUGUUUAUAGUCUUUUUCCUAUGCGGUAGGAGAGACUGAGGUCUGCAGUGUAGGCUAUUUGGCUAGAUACUCAGGUGCUAUGUGAUACCAUUUCAUAAACAACUUGUUGAUUAUGUUUUGUCUAUUGCAUACUCGCUUGUACUAUCAUACCUACGCUUAGGAUGUUGAAGAUGUAGCACAUCAU
rnacentral:rRNA from 1 species